GACAGAGGUGCCAAGCGUUAGGCGGAAUCACUGGGCUUAAAGCGUGUGUAGGCGGAAUGGUAAGUACCUUGUGAAAUCCCCACGGCUCAACCGUGGGACUGCUUGGUAUACUGCUUUCUUGAGCCACUUAGGGGCAACCGGAACAAACGGUGGAGCGGUGAAAUGCGUAGAUAUCGUUUGGAACGCCAAUGGUGAAAACAGGUUGCUGGGAGUGUGCUGACGCUGAGACACGAAAGCCAGGGGAGCAAACGGG
rnacentral:rRNA from 1 species